CAUCGCGACAUUUCCAGGCUCUGCCACCACCUCUCCCAAUGGGCGGCCACAGUUUCUUCCUCCGACAAUUCGUCACGCCCAUGCCGCCCUCCCCUCCGACCACCUAACUUCGCUCCGCCCAUGGCCGUCGUCGCCCAUGCCGGCCUCCCACGGCCUCGCCUCUUUCUCCCUUUCUCCUUCCACGGAAGCCCCAUCUAUUCAUCAUGCCUGUCAUUGGCUCUGCCUUCGGUUGCUGUAGAUUAUGACCAUGGGAACCCAUGGUGUCGCCCUGACACUCCUCACAACGGUGCUUCUCGAGGCCACCAUCCCAGUGUCAGCAGUGGAUGGCCUUGCGUGGGUCGUGCAAGAAGCCACGAGUUCCUCAUCAAGAUCAGAUGCAAUUAUUGGUCUUGGUGAAGCAGAGGACCGGGUAGGAUUGUUGGGUACACUUGCCACCUUGCCUACACACUGAGAAAGUGUCCAUAUUAAUGAAGGCACUCCUCUUGAGGAUCAGAAGCGAGAAACUUCUCACACUUGCAAACAACAACUUUGACACGGACCAGACGAUGUUCAAGAUCCUUGGCCUAAUCCCCAAUGCUCUAAGCUUUUGCUAGCAAGAAGUGGUGGUGAUGCUGCUUGCACCAAUAGGUCUGAGCUACACAUAUUUUAUAGUCUGGGAUGUUUAAUAUUGUAGCUUUUCAGCUAAUCCUUAUAUAUAUACUAGAUGAGUGCCCGUGCGUUGCAACGGAAACGUAUAAUAAUACGAUAACUUAUGUACAAAUGUGUGUUAUAUUAUUAUGAGAAAAUGUUUCGGAAUCCAUUGUGAUCCUACCCAUAUAUAAAUUUGGUUAUUUAAUCUAGCUAUUUCACCAUUACAUUGCAACCAUUAGUAACAUAUUGAUUUCUAUAUAUGAUUUUAAUAAUGUCAUUGAGUUAUAAUGACAGCACAAUUGAGAAAGUGUUAUUUAUAACUCAAAUAUCAGAAAAAGGGUACUAAGAAAGCACAGAAAUAAGGUAAUUAACUCUAUCACAAGAACCAAGUGAACAAUGAAAUAUCUCCAUUCCAGCAAACAACAUGAUAGCCGAAAACUCGGAAAAAGAUCAAUACAAUGUUGACCAUAUAUCAUGGCCAUCACCAUUGUCAUCAUUUAUCAAGCAUGGAUAAUAUUGAUCACAUCGUGCACCUCCAACAUGCAUUGAAAGCUCUGUUUCUACCCCUAAUGAUGAAGAGGUCAAAGCAGAGGCCCUUGACGGAGCAGACGUAGUGUGCGGCGACGGCGCGGGCAUAACGGAUUAGCUUGCCGCACCAGACGAGGCGGAACUGCAGGAGCACGUGCACGAGGUGCGUGACAUCGGUGCAGGUCCAGAGCGUGGUGACAGCGGAAGCGAGGCCGAAGUCCAUGUAGAGGCAGGGCUUAAAAGACCACAUGA